rnacentral:rRNA from 1 species
GGGUGAGUAACACGUGAGCAACCUGCCCCUGACUCUGGGAUAAGCGCUGGAAACGGCGUCUAAUACUGGAUACGAGUAGCGAUCGCAUGGUCAGCUACUGGAAAGAUUUUUUGGUUGGGGAUGGGCUCGCGGCCUAUCAGCUUGUUGGUGAGGUAAUGGCUCACCAAGGCGUCGACGGGUAGCCGGCCUGAGAGGGUGACCGGCCACACUGGGACUGAGACACGGCCCAGACUCCUACGGGAGGCAGCAGUGGGGAAUAUUGCACAAUGGGCGGAAGCCUGAUGCAGCAACGCCGCGUGAGGGAUGACGGCCUUCGGGUUGUAAACCUCUUUUAGCAGGGAAGAAGCGAAAGUGACGGUACCUGCAGAAAAAGCGCCGGCUAACUACGUGCCAGCAGCCGCGGUAAUACGUAGGGCGCAAGCGUUAUCCGGAAUUAUUGGGCGUAAAGAGCUCGUAGGCGGUUUGUCGCGUCUGCUGUGAAAUCCCGAGGCUCAACCUCGGGCCUGCAGUGGGUACGGGCAGACUAGAGUGCGGUAGGGGAGAUUGGAAUUCCUGGUGUAGCGGUGGAAUGCGCAGAUAUCAGGAGGAACACCGAUGGCGAAGGCAGAUCUCUGGGCCGUAACUGACGCUGAGGAGCGAAAGGGUGGGGAGCAAACAGGCUUAGAUACCCUGGUAGUCCACCCCGUAAACGUUGGGAACUAGUUGUGGGGUCCAUUCCACGGAUUCCGUGACGCAGCUAACGCAUUAAGUUCCCCGCCUGGGGAGUACGGCCGCAAGGCUAAAACUCAAAGGAAUUGACGGGGACCCGCACAAGCGGCGGA